AUUGAACGCUGGCGGCAGGCCUAACACAUGCAAGUCGAACGGUAACAGGAAACAGCUUGCUGUUUCGCUGACGAGUGGCGGACGGGUGAGUAAUGUCUGGGAAACUGCCUGAUGGAGGGGGAUAACUACUGGAAACGGUAGCUAAUACCGCAUAACGUCGCAAGACCAAAGAGGGGGACCCUCGGGCCUCUUGCCAUCGGAUGUGCCCAGAUGGGAUUAGCUUGUUGGUGGGGUAACGGCUCACCAAGGCGACGAUCCCUAGCUGGUCUGAGAGGAUGACCAGCCACACUGGAACUGAGACACGGUCCAGACUCCUACGGGAGGCAGCAGUGGGGAAUAUUGCACAGUGGGCGCAAGCCUGAUGCAGCCAUGCCGCGUGUAUGAAGAAGGCCUUCGGGUUGUAAAGUACUUUCAGCGGGGAGGAAGGGAGUAAAGUUAAGACCUUUGCUCAUUGACGUUACCCGCAGAAGAAGCACCGGCUAACUCCGU
rnacentral:rRNA from 1 species